GCUGGAUUUUUCACAAAAAUCAAAACGGCCGAAAUGGAAAGUCUAUACCUCUACUUAUCAUAUUUGGCACUUUUUGUCACUUUUGUUUGAGUGGUUCUUAACCUUACGUGUUUUUGCGGAAGGAUUGUUAUGUCUGCUUGGCAUUUCACAUUGCGCUUCUAAGACAAACUUCCUUUGAGGUAAAACGCACAAACAUUUCG